rnacentral:SRP_RNA from 1 species
GCUAGAGGUGGUGGCUUAUUCCUGUAAUCCCUCUCUCUGGGAGGCUGAGGAUGACAGAUCUCUUGAGUUUGGGAGUUCUAAGCUGCAGUAGGUGAUGUCGAUCAGGUGUCCACACUGAGUUCAACAGCUCCUGGACUGUCUAAGGGCCUAUAAAUUGGUCCAGGAGGGAAAACAGAGCAGAUCAAAGCUUUCAUGUUGAUUAGAAUGAGAUCAGAUUGUGCGUAGCUGCUGGAUUUCUAGUCUAGGUGAGAUAAAGAAAUCCAUCCUUU